rnacentral:rRNA from 1 species
CCUACGGGUGGCUGCAGUGGGGAAUAUUGGACAAUGGGCGAAAGCCUGAUCCAGCCAUGCCGCGUGUGUGAAGAAGGCCUUCGGGUUGUAAAGCACUUUCAGUGGGGAAGAAAGCCUUGGGGCUAAUACCCUCGAGGAAGGACAUCACCCACAGAAGAAGCACCGGCUAACUCCGUGCCAGCAGCCGCGGGAAUACGGAGGGUGCGAGCGUUAAUCGGAAUUACUGGGCGUAAAGCGCGCGUAGGCGGUCUGAUAAGCCGGUUGUGAAAGCCCCGGGCUCAACCUGGGAACGGCAUCCGGAACUGUCAGGCUAGAGUGCAGGAGAGGAAGGUAGAAUUCCCGGUGUAGCGGUGAAAUGCGUAGAGAUCGGGAGGAAUACCAGUUGCGAAGGCGGCCUUCUGGACUGACACUGACGCUGAGGUGCGAAAGCGUGGGUAGCAAACAGGAUUAGAUACCCUGGUAGUC